AACGUAGGAGGCAAGCGUUAUCCGGAGUUACUGGGCGUAAAGCGCGUGUAGGUGGCAAUGUAAGAUCGGUGUGAAAGCGCCCGGCUCAACUGGGCGAGGACAUCGAAGACUGCAUGGCUCGAGGGGGAUAGAGGGGCGUAGAAUUCCGGGUGUAGCGGUGAAAUGUGUAGAGAUCCGGAGGAAUACCAGUGGUGCAGACGGCGCCCUGGGUCCCACCUGACACUGAGACGCGAAAGCGUGGGGAGCGAACGGG
rnacentral:rRNA from 1 species